GGCUGGAUAGCCUAUAAGUGGUUAAGGUGUCACAUACGAGUUGUGUCCCACUUAAGGGUCCUUGGUUUGAAUCCAAGUCUAGUCA
rnacentral:tRNA from 1 species